CUAGACAGUAGGUGGGUAUUUUUCAGACUCCAGAGGGACUGCAGGACUCAGGAACAGGAGGCCUUGUCUCUCCUCAGGAGGAAGAGCUGAACAUCAGAAGGAGGAAUGGAACCACUAGCAAGAGCCAAUGGCUUCUGUUACUGUGCUUUGUUGGCUCCCAGGGGCUGACUUCAUGAAGAACCACAAACUUGUCUUCUUGUCAUUUGGAAAUCUAAAACCUUGAAGUCAAGCUUGAAGCGUCCGGAGGUCUGAGGCAUCCUCACUGAGAACACAUGAUGCACUGGCUACCUUCAUGUCAAGUUGACACAAGAUAGAUUCAUUUUGAAGAGAAGAAGACAAUCAAUAAAACACCCCCAUCAUCCAUUGUCCUUUGACUGAGCCUGGUGGAAAGCCUCGAAAACAGAAGGAAAGGGAACUGAGCCAUGGACUGCAUCAAAGUAAACUAUCACCAUGCCUACAAAGUAACUUCAAGGAUCAAGAGACUUACAUCACAAAUCAAAACUAGAUAAAGAACUCCGGCAAGCGAAGAGAGCGCAGUUGCGUAGUAGCUCAGUGGCCAAGGACAAGAAAGGGGUAAAGAAGGAAGCCAACAAGGGUGUAACUGUACAAAAGAUACAGGACCGGGGCUUCAGACUGCUGUUGGCUCUUCUAAACUUGGCUUCUUUAUUGGAUCUUGAAAACUACUGUCCUUGGACAAUACACUGACCUUAGUUUCGUGAUUCAGCCAUUAAAGUGUCCUUGAGAGGCCACUUCCUUUCUCUUGGUCCAUAUUUCCUUUCUAAAAUAAAAGGUAUAAAACUGA